CCUCUCAGCUGAUCCAUCUACCUAAACAUCGUUAGGGUUUUUCACAUUGCAGUCGCCCUGUUCUCCGUCUUCAACCUUCGAUCUUCAUCUCGAUGAAUUUUAUCAGAUUGUAUCCCGAUAAAAGGAAGGACAAGGAUUCCUUAUUUCGUCAUGCUACAAUCCUACACUUCUCUAACUCCUUCCGUUGGUGAUUGAAAUGUCCCAUGAGGAGGACCUACAUGUACCCAAAUGCAAUUCUACUAUUUGUAGCUUCUCAAACAUAGUUAAGAUAUUAUAAAACUUAUAGUUAAGAGCUUGAAAUGCCUCUUAAAAGAGAACUAUUGGAGUGUUGACCAAAAUUAAUUUGACGGAUAAAAAGUACAGAUGUAGUUGAUGUAAUAGGGGUGUCGUUUGGGUUAUAUUAUCAGGUUUUGGUUAUAGCGGGUUGUGUUGUUUGGGUUUCGAAAGUUUUAUAUUUAAUCCGAGAACCAAUCUAUAUGUU
rnacentral:lncRNA from 1 species